AGAGUUUGAUCCUGGCUCAGAACGAACGCUGGCGGCGUGGAUUAGGCAUGCAAGUCGAACGGAACUUCUAGCUUUUUCGGAAGUUUAGUGGCGGAAGGGUGAGUAACACGUGGGUUACCUGCCCUAGGGCUCGGGAUAACCUGUCGAAAGACGGGCUAAUACCGGAUACGUCUCAUACUUUUCGAAGUAUGAGGGAAAGAUGGGGAUCCGUAAGGACCUAUCACCCUUGGAUGGGCCUGCGGCCUAUCAGCUAGUUGGUGAGGUAAUGGCUCACCAAGGCUAAGACGGGUAGCUGGUCUGAGAGGAUGGUCAGCCACACUGGGACUGAGACACUGCCCAGACACCUACGGGUGGCUGCAGUCGAGAAUCUUUCGCAAUGGGGGAAACCCUGACGACGCGACGCCGCGUGGAGGAUGAAGGUCUUCGGAUUGUAAACUCCUGUCAGCUGGGAGGAAUAAGCAACUGGCUAAUAGCCGGUUGCCGUGACAGUACCAGCAGAGGAAGCCACGGCUAACUCUGUGCCAGCAGCCGCGGUAAUACAGAGGUGGCAAGCGUUGUUCGGAUUUAUUGGGCGUAAAGGGUCCGUAGGCGGUCUGGAAAGUCGGGUGUGAAAUCCCACAGCUUAACUGUGGAACUGCAUUCGAAACUUCCAGACUCGAGUGUGAGAGGGGUAAGGGGAAUUCCCGGUGUAAGGGUGAAAUCUGUAGAGAUCGGGAGGAACACCAGUCGCGAAGGCGCCUUACUGGCUCACCACUGACGCUGAGGGACGAAAGCCAAGGGAGCAAACGGGAUUAGAUACCCCGGUAGUCCUGGCCGUAAACGAUGGACACUAGGUGCUGGGAGGGUUAAACCUUUCGGUGCCGAAGCUCACGCAUUAAGUGUCCCGCCU
rnacentral:rRNA from 1 species